rnacentral:rRNA from 1 species
UACAGAGGCCUCAAGCGUUAGGCGGAAUCACUGGGCUUAAAGCGUGUGUAGGUGGAUGCCUAAGUACCUUGUGAAAUCCCACGGCUUAACCAUGGAAUUGCUUGGUAUACUGGGUGUCUUGAGCCACUCAGGGGCUACCGGAACAAACGGUGGAGCGGUGAAAUGCGCAGAUAUCAGGAGGAACACCGGUGGCGAAGGCGGGUCUCUGGGCCGAUACUGACGCUGAGGAGCGAAAGCGUGGGGAGCAAACAGG